rnacentral:lncRNA from 1 species
UUCUAUAAAUAGAAGCUCAUUCCUUCAUUAUUUCUUACGAAUUCACUAAAACUCUAGAUAGAGAAACUGUGGAGAGAAUUAUUCUUCUAUAAUCUUGAGCGUAUUUCUUUAGCGUUUAAGAAAGCUUUGAGCGUAGUGCAAGUUUCUUCAAGUAUAUCCCCGUCCUACCAUCGGAGUACUCUUCUUUAUAAGGUAAGGGGUAU